rnacentral:sRNA from 12 species
CGGCAGGCCGCCGGCCGUAACGGGCGGUCAUCGGAUCGCUCCGGUGAAAGG